rnacentral:misc_RNA from 1 species
ACAAACUUGGUCAUUUAGAGGAAGUAAAAGUCGUAACAAGGUUUCCGUAGGUGAACCUGCGGAAGGAUCAUUAAAGAGAAAACUGCCCUUUGGGUAGAUCUCCCACCCUUUGUUUACAUUACCUUUGUUGCUUUGGCAGGUCCGUCUUCUGACCACCGGCUUUUAGCUGGUCCGUGCCUGCCAGAGGACCCAAACUCUUGAUUUUAAGUUGUCCGAGUCCUUAUAUAAUAGUAAAAACUUUCAACAACGGAUCUCUUGGCUCUCGCAUCGAUGAAGAACGCAGC